CAAUAGCGUAUAUUUAAGUUGUUGCAGUUAAAAAGCUCGUAGUUGGAUUUCGGGUACGGCAGGCCGGUCCGGCGUUUCGCUGUGCACUGGCGGGCGGUAUCUUUCUGUCGAGGACGCGCUCCUGGCCUUGACUGGUCGGGACGCGGAGUCGGCGAUGUUACUUUGAAAAAAUUAGAGUGUUCAAAGCGGGCCUACGCUUGAAUAUAUUAGCAUGGAAUAACACUAUAGGACUCCUGUCCUAUUCUGUUGGUCUUCGGGAUGGGAGUAAUGAUUAAGAGGAACAGUUGGGGGCAUUCGUAUUUCAUUGUCAGAGGUGAAAUUCUUGGAUUUAUGAAAGACGAACUUCUGCGAAAGCAUUUGCCAAGGAUGUUUUCAUUAAUCAAGAACGAAAGUUGGGGGCUCGAAGACGAUUAGAUACCAU
rnacentral:rRNA from 1 species